rnacentral:misc_RNA from 1 species
GAUGUGGGGGUUUGUGCAGGCUGCCUCAGCGCUGGUCUGCUCCCCUGAAAUGCAUUAGCGAGUUCAUACUGAACCUCCGUCUAUUGGUGUGAUAAUUAUCUACGCCGUGGACUGGGUUUAGACUCGCUUCUAACCGUCCGCAAGGACAAUAACUUUGACAAUUUGACCUCAAAUCAGGUAGGACUACCCGCUGAACUUAG